rnacentral:lncRNA from 1 species
AUGGCUUGGUUGGAAGACGUGGAUUUUCUGGAAGACGUACCUUUGUUGGAAGACAUACCUUUGUUGGAAGACGUACCUUUGUUGGAAGACGUACCUUUGUUGGAAGACACAAGUAGGCUGGAAGACAUUAAUUUGAUGGAAGACAUGGCUUUGUUGGAAGACGUGGAUUUGCUGGAAGACACGGAUUUCCUGGAAGACCUGGAUUUUUCGGAAGCUAUGGAUUUGAGGGAAGACAAGGAUUUUCUGGAAGACAUGGAUAGUCUGGAAGACAUGGCUUUGUUGGAAGACGUGGACUUGCUGGAAGACACGGAUUUCCUGGAAGACCCGGAUUUUUUGGAAGCUAUAGAUUUAAGGGAAGACAAGGAUUUUCUGGAAGACAUGGAUAGUCUGGAAGACCUGGAGGCCAUUGGAAGAUGUGGAUUUUCUGGAAGACAUGGCUUUUUUGGAAGACGUAGAUUUUCAGGAAGACCCAAAUUAUCCGGAAGACUUGGAUUGUUGGGAAGACGUGGAUUUUCUGGAAGACUGGGAGGUUACUGGAAGACAUGGAUUUUCUGGAAGACAUGGAUUUUCUGGAAGACGUGGAUCUUCAGGAAGACAUAUAUUGGCUGGAAGACCUGGAUUUUUUCCGGAAGAUGUGGAUUGACUGGAAGACCUGGAUUUGGUGGAAGACGUAGAUUUUUCUGGAAGACACUGACUGACUGGAAGACCUGGAUUUCUUUCUGGAAGACACUGAUUGACUGGAAGACCUGGAUUUCUUUCUGGAAGACACUGAUUGACUGGAAGAUCUAG